rnacentral:rRNA from 1 species
UUGACAUGCCGAUGACGUAGAAGUAAAGUUUUAUUCCCUUUGUGGCAUCGGACACAGGUGGUGCAUGGUUGUCGUCAGCUCGUGUCGUGAGAUGUUGGGUUAAGUCCCGCAACGAGCGCAACCCUUAUUUUCUGUAGCCAGCAGUGAGAUGGGAACUCAGAAAAGACUGCCGAGGAUGACUCGGAGGAAGGUGGGGAUGACGUCAAAUCAUCAUGCCCCUUAUGGUUUGGGCUACACACGUGCUACAAUGGUACAGACAAAGGGAAGCGAAGCUGUGAAGUGAAGCAAAUCCCAAAAACUGUAUUUCAGUUCGGAUUGCAGGCUGCAACUCGCCUGCAUGAAGCCGGAAUCGCUAGUAAUCGCAAAUCAGAAUGUUGCGGUGAAUACGUUCCCGGGUCUUGUACACACCGCCCGUCACACCAUGGGAGUCGGCAAUGCCCGAAGUCGGUGGCUCAACCUGUAAAGGAGGGAGCUGCCGAAGGCAGGGCGGAUGUUCUUGGGGUUCAAGUCGUAAACACAUAGAGUU